UGACCGAUGGUGUAACGGUAGCACAGAAGUUUUUGGUGCUUUUAGUUGAGGUUCGAAUCCUUGUCGGUCAA
rnacentral:tRNA from 2 species